UACGGAGGGUGCAAGCAUUAAUCGGAUUUACUGGGCGUAAAGGGCGCGUAGGCGGAAGGUCAUGUCAGAUGUAAAAUCCCGGAGCUCAACUUCGGAACUGCAUUUGAAACGGAUCAUCUUGAGGGUAGGCGGAGAAAAUGGAAUUCCACGUGUAGCGGUGAAAUGCGUAGAUAUGUGGAAGAACACCUGUGGCGAAAGCGGUUUUCUAGCUUAUUCCUGACGCUGAGGCGCGAAAGCAAGGGGAGCAAACAGG
rnacentral:rRNA from 1 species